rnacentral:rRNA from 1 species
AGUGGCCAUACCACCGUGAAUGUGCCAGAUCUUGUCUGAUCUUGGAGGCUAAGCAGGAUUGAGCCUGCUUGGGUAGGUGAAAUGAAUGAAGCAUGGACUCUGUCAGUUGGCCACACCCAUUG